GAUGAACGCUAGCUACAGGCUUAACACAUGCAAGUCGAGGGGAAACGAUAUUGGAAGCUUGCUUCCGAUAGGCGUCGACCGGCGCACGGGUGAGUAACGCGUAUCCAACCUGCCCACCACUUGGGGAUAACCUUGCGAAAGUAAGACUAAUACCCAAUGAUAUCUCUAGAAGACAUCUGAAAGAGAUUAAAGAUUUAUCGGUGAUGGAUGGGGAUGCGUCUGAUUAGCUUGUUGGCGGGGUAACGGCCCACCAAGGCGACGAUGAGUAGGGGUUCUGAGAGGAAGGUCCCCCACAUUGGAACUGAGACACGGUCCAAACUCCUACGGGAGGCAGCAGUGAGGAAUAUUGGUCAAUGGGCGAGAGCCUGAACCAGCCAAGUAGCGUGCAGGAUGACGGCCCUAUGGGUUGUAAACUGCUUUUAUAAGGGAAUAAAGUGAGAGUCGUGACUCUUUUUGCAUGUACCUUAUGAAUAAGGACCGGCUAAUUCCGUGCCAGCAGCCGCCGCGGUAA
rnacentral:rRNA from 1 species